GCAGGGGCCAUCAACUAGAGGUAAUAGGAAUUGACACCUCUGAUUACAGCAUCCUGUAUGCUGUGAAACAGCUGUUUGUGGCAGGUGGAAGGCUCUGGAAGAAAGGGGGAUGAAUAAAUCAGCAGGGCCACUGGCAGCUAGACCAGCCAUCUCUGAGGGGUGAUUCACGCUAUCACAGGCAGCUGCCUGAACCCAGAGGAGCCGCAA